GCGCUCGCUUUGGCAGCGCAUAUACUAAAAUUGGAACAACACAGAGAUUAGCAUGGCCCCUAUGCAAGAAUGACAUAUAAAUUCGUGAGGUGUUCGAUAUACAA
ensembl:snRNA U6 U6 spliceosomal RNA